GAUGAACGCUGGCGGCGUGCCUAAUACAUGCAAGUCGAGCGAACGGACGAUAAGCUUGCUCCUCUGAUGUUAGCGGCUGACGGGUGAGUAACACGUGGAUCACCUACCUAUAAGUCUGGGAUAACUUCGUGAAACCGUAUCUAAUACCGGCUAAUAUUUUGAACCGCAUGGUUCAAAAGUGAAAGACGGUCUUGCUGUCACUUAUAGCUGGAUCCGCGCUGCAUUAGCUAGUUGGUAAGGUAACGGCUUACCAAGGCAACGAUGCAUAGCCGACCUGAGAGGGUGAUCGGCCACACUGGAACUGAGACACGGUCCAGACUCCUACGGGAGGCAGCAGUAGGGAAUAUUCCACAAUGGGCGCAAGCCUGACGGAGCAACGCCGCGUGAGUGAUGAAGGUCUUCGGAUCGUAAAACUCUGUUAUUGGGGAAGAAAAGAUGUGUAAGUAACUGUGCACAUCUUGACGGUACCUAAUCAGAAAGCAACGGCUAACUACGUG
rnacentral:rRNA from 1 species